rnacentral:rRNA from 1 species
UACGUAGGGGGCAAGCGUUGUCCGGAAUCAUUGGGCGUAAAGCGCGUGUAGGCGGCUUGAUAAGUCUGCUCUGAAAGCCCGGGGCUUAACCCCGGGUCGGCAGUGGAUACGGGCAGGCUAGAGGUAGGUAGGGGAGAUGGAAUUCCCGGUGUAGCGGUGAAAUGCGCAGAUAUCGGGAGGAACACCGGUGGCGAAGGCGGUUCUCUGGGCCUUACCUGACGCUGAGGAGCGAAAGCGUGGGGAGCGAACAGG